rnacentral:rRNA from 1 species
CCUACGGGUGACAGCAGUGAGGAAUAUUGGUCAAUGGACGAGAGUCUGAACCAGCCAAGUAGCGUGAAGGAUGACUGCCCUAUGGGUUGUAAACUUCUUUUAUAUGGGAAUAAAACGUUCCACGUGUGGGAUUUUGUAUGUACCAUAUGAAUAAGGAUCGGCUAACUCCGUGCCAGCAGCCGCGGUAAUACGGAGGAUCCGAGCGUUAUCCGGAUUUAUUGGGUUUAAAGGGAGCGUAGGUGGAUUGUUAAGUCAGUUGUGAAAGUUUGCGGCUCAACCGUAAAAUUGCAGUUGAAACUGGCAGUCUUGAGUACAGUAGAGGUGGGCGGAAUUCGGGGUGUAGCGGUGAAAUGCUUAGAUAUCACGAAGAACUCCGAUUGCGAAGGCAGUUCACUGGACUGCAACUGACACUGAGGCUCGAAAGUGUGGGUAUCAAACAGGAUUAGAUACCCUUGUAGUC